rnacentral:rRNA from 1 species
GACGAACCGUGGCGAACGUUGUUCGGAAUCACUGGGCUUAAAGGGCGCGUAGGCGGCUUGGCAAGUCCGGGGUGAAAGCCCCCAGCUCAACUGGGGAAGUGCCUUGGAUACUGCCAAGCUCGAGCGAGAUAAGGGGUCGUGGGAACUUCCGGUGGAGCGGGUGAAAUGCGUUGAUAUCGGAAGGAACGCCGGUGGCGAAAGCGCACGACUGGAUCUCUUCUGACGGCUGAGGCGCGAAAGCCAGGGGAGCAAACGGG